CCCCCUACCACUCCCAUUACAGGCUGCUGUGGUUGCUGGGAAUGUUGUUGUUGUUGUGUUUGCUCUGAUUGAUCCAUGAAUUAUUCUACAAGUUACUUGUACCCGUGUUUGAACUAUACUCUCAUCAGACCAUUAAUUUCCAACUGAAUCUAAGCCGAGAGCUCUCCAGUAGAAACCCUAAGAAAGUGAAAGAGAAAAUUUUCAGAGGGAGAAAGUGAAGGUUAAAAUCGAGGGACACAGGAGCUUUUGAAUGUAUACUUUGAAAUUAGAGAGAGAAAGGGAGACUUGCGUG
rnacentral:misc_RNA from 1 species